CCGAAUGGCAGGCUAAACAU
rnacentral:miRNA from 1 species